ACUCUCCUCCCUCCUGGACAGACAGGUACAGAACACCUCUUGGUCCUCCUCUACUCUCCUCCCUCCUGGACAGACAGGUACAGAACACCUCUUGGUCCUGCUCUACUCUCCUCCCUCCUGGACAGACAGGUACAGAACACCUCUUGGUCCUCCUCUACUCUCCUCCCUCCUGGACAGACAGGUACAGAACACCUCUUGGUCCUGCUCUACUCUCCUCCCUCCUGGACAGACAGGUACAGAACACCUCUUGGUCCUGCUCUACUCUCCUCCCUCCUGGACAGACAGGUACAGAACACCUCUUGGUCCUGCUCUACUCUCCUCCCUCCUGGACAGACAGGUACAGAACACCUCUUGGUCCUCCUCUACUCUCCUCCCUCCUGGACAGACAGGUACAGAACACCUCUUGGUCCUCCUCUACUCUCCUCCCUCCUGGACAGACAGGUACAGAACACCUCUUGGUCCUGCUCUACUCUCCUCCCUCCUGGACAGACAGGUACAGAACACCUCUUGGUCCUGCUCUACUCUCCUCCCUC